ACCUGGUUCUGAAGAAAAAAAAAGGCAAAAUCCUCUGAAUGAGGAUCUGGGACUGGCGUCGGAGCUACAUCGAGCCUCCGUUCUCAAGCGUUCACGCGCCGUCGCCAACUCCACCACACACGGCGGUUGGGAUUCGAAAAGCUUCGCUUUUCGCGGCGAAUCUAGAAGGCGAAUCGCUAGGAUUUCCUUCGAGCAUCCAUGACUACGCGCUGAUGGGGGGUUGAUGGGAACUGAAGAGGCGUGACUCUUGGACUGAUUGCGACGCUGCGGCGCGAGGGUUUCCCAGGAAACCCUAAGUCUCCUGAUGUUUCCAGUUUGGGCUUUGUUGGGCUACUGCUUGUUGGGUUUGGGUGUAGACGGGUUUUGGGUAGUUCUGCUGGGUUAAGGGUUAAUGGGCUAUAAUAUUGGGUUGUAACAGGGUAUAAGGUUUAAACAGGCUAAUUUUGGCCCUACAGGCUGUUGUAAAUGGACUGUUUUAAAAACAUUCAUUUAUUA